rnacentral:lncRNA from 10 species
UGAAAAUGACACUUUGGAAAAGUUUAGUGGUUUCUUCCAAAGCUAAAAAUAGACUUACCAUAUGAUCCUAUAAUUGAGUUUCUUGGUAUUUACCCAAGUGAGUUGAAAACUCACAUUCAGGAAAAAAAAAAAAAAACCUGACAUGAAUGAACCCUAACAGUUUCCUUCAUAAUUGUCGAAACUUGGAAGCAAACAAGAUGUCUUCCAAUAGGUGAGUAGAUAAACAAAAUAUGGUACACCUAUAUACUGAAAUAUUAUUCAGUGAUGAAAUGAGCUACAAAUCACAAAAAGAGACUGGAGACACUUAAAUACAUAUUGCUAAGUGAGAGAAGCCAAUUCAAAAAGCCUAUUUACUAUAUGAUUCCAACUACAUAACAGUCUGGAAAUGGUAAAACUAUGAAGACAAUAAAAGGAUGAGUGACUUUGGGGAAGGGAGAGAGCAGUGAAUAGGUGGAGCAUAGGGCAUUUUUAAGACAGUGAAACUAUUCUGUGUGAUGUUUAAUUAACAUUAAUAAUGUUAAUGUGUAAUGUCUAUGUAAUCUACUAUAAUGGCAAAUACAUGUCAUUAUACAUUUAUCAAAAUCCAUAAAAUGCACAACACAAAGAGUGAACACGAAUACGAGCUAUGGACUGUAGUUAAUAAUAAGAUACAGAUAACAGUUAAUCAGUUGUAACAAAUGCACCACAGUAAUGCAAAAUGUUAGUAGCUGGAGAAGUCAGGAAGGGGAUAGUUGAGGGAGGAUAGGAAGUAUAUACUGUACUUUUUGCUCAAUUUUUCUGUAAACCUUAAACUGCUUUAAAAAAGACUAUUAUUUUUUAAGGGUGACAUUCAAGCAAAAAUUUGCAUCAGGUUAAGGAUGAAGCUCUACAAAUAUAUACAAUUGCUGUAUUAAGAAUAAUUGUUUUCCAGGUGGCUGUUCCAUGCAUUGUGGGAUGUUUAGCUUCAUCUUGUAAUCUACCUACUUAGAAGCCAGUAGCACAACCCUUCCUUGUAGUGGAAAAAACAAUGUCUCUAAAUAUUGCCAAUGUCCCUGUGGGGAGGAGGAUGAAAAUUACCCCUGGUUGAAAGCGCCUGAGCAAUGGGAAUGCAAGUUACAUAAUAGGACAAAAGACAGCGAAACCAAUAUUGAUGCACUAAUGUUAAGAUAAAAGUUGUGGUGAGCCCAAAAUGUCAGGCUAAGGAGUGUGCAAAUCUUAUAAACACUGAGGGAACUCUGAAGGUUUUAAAGUAAUGGAUUAGCAUAGUGAAUGCUGAGCUUUAAGAAUAUAAAAUUUGUACCUGUGUGCAUAAAUGGUAUUUUGUAGGAAAAACAGAAUAGGCAGAGAGAGUGAUGAGCAGUCCAGCUCAGUUAUCCUAUUGUGGGAUAACAAGCAUAGGAACAGAGAUGACAGAAAAGUAAAAAACAAAAAACAAUAACAAAAAUUAAAGGUCAGGGAUGGGAGGACAUUGUAAUAAAUACUUCAAGGAACAAGUGAUAUAGAAUAUGUGCUAUUCACCUUAUAGAACUGGGAGACCCUUGUUACCAAAAACUAAUGUGAUAGACUACAGAAAAUCCUGGAAUUAUAUUCCAGAUAUGUUUGCAUUAUCUAGGCAAUGUGAAAUGUUAUAGCUACUUUUCACAGGUGUUCACCUCUCAUAUGUGAAGUCAUGAGAUUUCUUGAAAAUUUUCUGAAGGCUUUUCAAAAAUCUUAAAAAGUCUUUAAAAUCUUAUGAAACACCAGUAGGCCCAAGUUGCAGUUUGGUACAGUGAGUCUAAUUCAUUAUAGGUGUUUUGAAACUUCAAGGUCAUUUAUCAUUUUGUGAGGAAAUAUAUUUUAGGUUAGUGCGAAAGUAAUUGUGGGUUUGCUAUUACUUUCAGUGGCCAAAACUGCAAUUACUUUUGCACCAACCUAGUAUUUUUAUGUCCUUAAAACCUUGAGAUUCCAUCUAGGGGAGUCAUAAUGUGACUGAAAGUCAGCUAAGUAAGCAGAAUUAGGGUUUUUGGCAGUAACCCAGUUUGAUGUUUUUGUUUGCUUGAUCUGCGAUAACAAAAAAUCACAGUCUGGGUGGAUUAAGCAACAGAAAUUUAUUUUCUCACUGUCCUGGAGGCUAGAAGUCCAGGAAGAUUUUCGCUAACUUAGUUUCUCAUGAGGGCUCAUUGUGGCUUGCAGACAGCCAACUUCUUGCUAUAUCCUCACAUGGCCUUUCUUCAGUAUUUAUGCACAGAAAGAGAGGCAGUGAGCUCUCUGGUGUUUUUUUCCUAUGAGGAUACUAACCCCACCAAAACCUCAUUUAACCCUAAUCACUGUGUUAGACGGUUCCUCUGCAAAUAACUGCCCCACUGGGGGAUUUGACUUCAACAUAUAAAUUUUGGGCUGACACAAACAUUUAGUUCAUAACAGUUUCUAUCAUUAUAUGUAGAGCUAAAGAUUCUUCCAUGCUAUUACUGAAAAAUAAAAUUAAGAUCUUUCUAGUUAAUAUCCAAGCGAAUUGAAAGCAGAUGUCCACAAAAAAAUGUACAGUAAUGUUUAUAGCGGUAUUAUUUAUAACAACCAUAUGAUGAACCCCAGGUCUAUCAACUGACACAUGGAUAAAGGGUAUACACAUACAAUUAAAAAUAGUCACUGAUAAAAAGGAAUGAAGUACUGAUAUAUGCCACAUCAUAGAUGAAC